UACGAAGGGGGCUAGCGUUGCUCGGAAUUACUGGGCGUAAAGCGCACGUAGGCGGUCUUCUAAGUCUUGUGUGAAAUCCCUCGGCUCAACUGAGGAACUGCACGGGAUACUGGAUGACUUGAGUUCGGGAGAGGGAAGCGGAAUUCCGGGUGUAGCGGAGAAAUGCGUAGAUAUCCGGAGGAACACCGGUGGCGAAGGCGGCUUCCUGGACCGAUUACUGACGCUGAGGCGCGAAAGCUAGGGGAGCAAACGGG
rnacentral:rRNA from 1 species